rnacentral:rRNA from 1 species
GACGAACGCUGGCGGCGUGCUUAACACAUGCAAGUCGAACGGAAAGGCCCCUUUGGGGGUACUCGAGUGGCGAACGGGUGAGUAACACGUGAGUAACCUGCCCUUGACUUCGGGAUAACUUCAGGAAACUGGGGCUAAUACCGGAUAGGAAUCCUUGCUGCAUGGUGGGGGUUGGAAAGCUUCGGCGGUUUUGGAUGGACUCGCGGCUUAUCAGCUUGUUGGUGGGGUAGUGGCUUACCAAGGCUUUGACGGGUAGCCGGUCUGAGAGGGCGACCGGCCACAUUGGGACUGAGAUACGGCCCAGACUCCUACGGGAGGCAGCAGUGGGGAAUAUUGCACAAUGGGCGGAAGCCUGAUGCAGCAACGCCGCGUGCGGGAUGACGGCCUUCGGGUUGUAAACCGCUUUCAGCAGGGGCGAAGCUUGUGGUGACGGUACCUGCAGAAGAAGCACCGGCUAACUACGUG